rnacentral:tRNA from 1 species
UAGGGAGACCUGCCCUUAAUCACUCCGAACUAAUUUAAUAGGGGGAUUAGGUGGUCACUCUAGGUCGUUCAGGACUUUGAGACGAGUUUCUAGACUAUGGUUGAGGUUUAUUUUUUAGUCUUACGGGAUUAGAGAACUAAACACGGGCUAUUAGCUCAGGUGGUUAGAGCGCACCCCUGAUAAGGGUGAGGUCCCUGGUUCGAGUCCAGGAUGGCCCACUGCGUGGGGGUUUAGCUCAGUUGGUAGAGCGCCUGCUUUGCAAGCAGGAUGUCAGCGGUUCGAGUCCGCUAACCUCCACCACGGGAAUCACCCUAAAUAGAGGGAGUGAAUUCAGCACAGUAUACGCCAGGGGACUGGGGUGUAGUCUGCUGAGUGAGAGCUCAGCGAAGAACCUUGAAAACUACAUAGUUAGAGAAGUGUAAGGUAGUACACACAGAUAUUGAGUCGAGAGAAAGCGCGAUGAAUCUGUGUGACUUGAGGAAUCAAGUCAUUGAGACGAA